rnacentral:rRNA from 1 species
GAGUUUGAUCAUGGCUCAGGAUGAACGCUGGCGGCGUGCUUAACACAUGCAAGUCGAACGAACCUUCGGGUUAGUGGCGGACGGGUGAGUAACGCGUGAGAAUCUGCCCUCAGGAGGGGGACAACAGCUGGAAACGGCUGCUAAUACCCCAUAUGCCGCGAGGUGAAAUGAAUUUCGCCUGAGGAUGAGCUCGCGUCUGAUUAGCUAGUUGGUGUAGGUAAUGGCUCACCAAGGCAUCGAUCAGUAGCUGGUCUGAGAGGAUGAUCAGCCACACUGGGACUGAGACACGGCCCAGGCUCCUACGGGAGGCAGCAGUGGGGAAUUUUCCGCAAUGGGCGAAAGCCUGACGGAGCAACGCCGCGUGAGGGAUGAAGGCCUCUGGGCUGUAAACCUCUUUUAUCAAGGAAGAAGAUCUGACGGUACUUGAUGAAUAAGCCACGGCUAAUUCCGUGCCAGCAGCCGCGGUAAUACGGGAGUGGCAAGCGUUAUCCGGAAUUAUUGGGCGUAAAGCGUCCGCAGGCGGCCCUUCAAGUCUGCUGUUAAAAAGUGGAGCUUAACUCCAUCAUGGCAGUGGAAACUGUUGGGCUUGAGUGUGGUAGGGGCAGAGGGAAUUCCCGGUGUAGCGGUGAAAUGCGUAGAUAUCGGGAAGAACACCAGUGGCGAAGGCGCUCUGCUGGGCCAUCACUGACGCUCAUGGACGAAAGCCAGGGGAGCGAAAGGGAUUAGAUACCCCUGUAGUCCUGGCCGUAAACGAUGAACACUAGGUGUCGGGGGAAUCGACCCCCUCGGUGUCGUAGCCAACGCGUUAAGUGUUCCGCCUAGGGAGUACGCACGCAAGUGUGAAACUCAAAGGAAUUGACGGGGGCCCGCACAAGCGGUGGAGUAUGUGGUUUAAUUCGAUGCAACGCGAAGAACCUUACCAGGGUUUGACAUCCUGCGAAUCUCUUGGAAACAGGAGAGUGCCUUCGGGAACGCAGUGACAGGUGGUGCAUGGCUGUCAUCAACUCGUGUCGUGAGAUGUUGGGUUAAGUCCCGCAACGAGCGCAACCCACGUCUUUAGUUGCCAGCAUUUGGUUGGGCACUCUAGAGAGACUGCCGGUGAUAAACCGGAGGAAGGUGUGGAUGACGUCAAGUCAUCAUGCCCCUUACAUCCUGGGCUACACACGUACUACAAUGCUACGGACAAAGGGCAGCAAGUUCGCGAGGACAAGCAAAUCCCAUAAACCGUGGCUCAGUUCAGAUCGUAGGCUGCAACUCGCCUACGUGAAGGCGGAAUCGCUAGUAAUCGCAGGUCAGCAUACUGCGGUGAAUACGU